rnacentral:lncRNA from 1 species
UGGGACCCAAAAAGGUAGAAGCUACAUAACCAUGGAUGAGUUGAUAACCAUUCAUGGCUAUAUAAUACAUUAAUGUUACGAUUUAAUGUUACUAAUCUUUGGUGAUUGAUCUCAUUGCCAGCUUAAGGGAAAUUCUAUUUGAUUUGUUAAUUAGUUAGUGUAGUCCCCCUAUAAUUGUUAAUGUUAGUAAGAUAUAUGGACAGAGCUAGGUAUAGGCCUGAGGUUGCCAUGACAUCCAAGCGUCUAUACAAGUCUAUUCCACCAUCGAUAAGAAACACUUCAAAACUUAAACUAUAGAAGAAAAUUAUCCCUUACUUAUCAACCGUUAUUACAGUGAUUAAGUGCAAUAACAAUUGAGUUCAUGAAUUUCUUUUUUCUCCAAACUGGUUUUUAAAGUGUUUUUGAGUUUUUAGGGGAUCAAUUACGAGGCAACAAAGACCUCUUCACUUACAAUAUAAACUACGUACACUUAUUCUAGCAGCCCCCAACUUGGUUUCUUUUCUCAACCUAAACACAUUUGAGCUGGGGAACACACACAAGAUUGAGCCACGUACCCCCAACCCAAAUUUUGUCAUCCCAACACAAAGAGUUAGGUCACAACUCACAACAUGAACAUGAGUACCAAGAAAGAAUGCUA